GCCUGGAAUAACACGAGGAAACUUGUGCUAAUACCGGAUAAGUCUUUACGGAGAAAGCUUUAUGCACCAUUGGAUGAGCCUGCACUUGAUUAGUUUGUUGGUGGGGUAAUGGCCUACCAAGACUGUGAUCAAUAGCUGAUUUGAGAGGAUGAUCAGCCACAUUGGGACUGAGACACGGCCCAAACUCCUACGGGAGGCAGCAGUGGGGAAUCUUGCACAAUGGAGGAAACUCUGAUGCAGCGAUGCCGCGUGAGUGAAGAAGGCCCUUGGGUUGUAAAGCUCUUUCGUCGGGGAAGAAAAUGACUGUACCCGAAUAAGAAGGUCCGGCUAACUUCGUGCCAGCAGCCGCGGUAAUACGAAGGGACCUAGCGUAGUUCGGAAUUACUGGGCUUAAAGAGUUCGUAGGUGGUUGAAAAAGUUAGUGGUGAAAUCCCAGAGCUUAACUCUGGAACUGCCAUUAAAACUUUUCAGCUAGAGUAUGAUAGAGGAAAGCAGAAUUUCUAGUGUAGAGGUGAAAUUCGUAGAUAUUAGAAAGAAUACCAAAUGCGAAGGCAGCUUUCUGGAUCAUUACUGACACUGAGGAACGAAAGCAUGGGUAGCGAAGAGGAUUAGAUACCCUCGUAGUCCAUGCCGUAAACGAUGUGUGUUAGACGUUGGAAAUUUAUUUUCAGUGUCGCAGCGAAAGCGAUAAACACACCGCCUGGGGAGUACGACCGCAAGGUUAAAACUCAAAUGAAUUGACGGGGACCCGCACAAGUAGUGGAGCAUGUGGUUUAAUUCGAAGAUACGCGCAGAACCUUACCAACACUUGACAUGUUCGUCGCGACUCUAAGAGAUUAGAGUUUUCGGUUCGGCCGGACGAAACACAGGUGCUGCAUGGCUGUCGUCAGCUCGUGUCGUGAGAUGUUGGGUUAAGUCCCGCAACGAGCGCAACCCUCACUUUUAGUUGCCAUCAUUAAGUUGGGCACUCUGAAAGAACUGCCAGUGAUAAGCUGGAGGAAGGUGGGGAUGACGUCAAGUCCUCAUGGCCCUUACGUGUUGGGCUACACACGUGCUACAAUGGUAUCUACAACAGGAAGCAAGACUGCGAAGUUAAGCAAAUCCCCAAAAGAUACCUCAGUUCGGAUUGCACUCUGCAACUCGAGUGCAUGAAGCUGGAAUUACUAGUAAUCGUGGAUCAGCGUGCCACGGUGAAUGCGUUCCCGGGUCUUGUACACACCGCCCGUCACACCAUGGGAGUUGGUUCUACCUUAAGGCAAGGUUUCAAACCCUUGACCACGGUAUAGUCAGCGACUGGGGUGAAGUCGUAACAAGGUAGCCGUAGGGGAACCUGCGGCUG
rnacentral:rRNA from 1 species